GCUGCCUACGCUUAGACCUUCUUCAACACUAUUGACAUCGUCACUGCCAUCCAUGGGAGGCCGUGCUUGCAUUGGAGCUCGUGGAUCAAAUUGGCGCCAUCGAUGGCUGCCACAAGGGGCGAACAGAGAGAGAGAGGAAGGAGAGGGAAAUAGAGGAAGAGGGAGAGGAAGGGGUCUAGGCCGGGUUUUGAGCUCAGGCUUGGGCUUGGGG
rnacentral:lncRNA from 1 species